AUUGCUUCUCAGCCUUUUGGCUAAGAUCAAGUAUAGUAUCUGUUCUUAUCAGUUUAAUAUCUGAAACAUCCCCUACCUGGGGGGCAAAUAUUAAAUUGAUUUUUUGGGACAGUGUGAUGGAACAAGGGCUUGCCCAUUCCACUCCACGCAUCAACCUGGUAUUGCAAUUUCUCCAGGAAUGGUGCAAUUUCC